UAGUCCUAUGCCUCUUCUGGGCCUCCAUGAUGCUGAUUCGCUCCAUGGACAAUAACGUGCGGAAACGUCCGUUCCCUCUUCAUGACCCUCCUCGUCGAUGAUUUGUAACCGGGUCAGCCAAACCCUUCUUCAUCGACAAGGGCGAACAGAUCUCAGACACCUUCCAGAACAUCCGAAUGAAGUGGCGGUUCGUCUGCACCGAACCUCCCAUAAGAACAACCAUGCCACCCACCAUACAAAUCACCUUCGAUAGCCAGUCAUUUUUGAUCGGAAGUAAGGUGUUUAAAAUUUAAAAUUUAUAUCGCCUUUUUUUUUUUUUAAUUAUAUAAAUAUAUAUCAUUGGUGUCCUAGCUACAGUGUUAUUUUGGUGCGUUUGGCUCCAUCAUUUUGUUAUAUGAUUCAAGGAUGCCAAUGAGCUUACACUUCUCUUUGUUGUUUGAAUUUUUGGAGAGGUUUAUUAGGAGGUGAGAAUCAGUUUGAUGGUUCCAACAGCAGGGCGAUGGAAAAGCCGCCAGAUCAGGGAACAUGAAAUUAUCCGACGAUGAGAAUGUUUGGAAGCUAUGGUUGGCAUCACAUGUUAUGAUAUCCUCCUUUAUUUCCUGUUUGAUUGAAGACAAGGAUGACAGAAAGGGAACAUGGUCUUGUUUGUUUAUAAGAUUGGUACUGUCGAAGCUGAUGAAAAUAGAAGUGUCACUAGGACUGGUACAAUCCAAGAUCAAUUCAGGAUCCUGAUGGAGAUUCCUACAUGUGUGAUUCCCAAAAUAUGUUGUCCUGUAUAGUGGGGGAUUCACUUGAAUUCUCUGAAUUUGUUUCGUGGCUUUGCAGCCUUGAUCAUACUUGUAUGUGCACCUGAAAUAGUGCCUGCAUGUAUCACAUAUAAUAUGAACUUAAUUCAUCAGUUAAUACAAUCACAAAUUUAUUUUUAAUA